GUAAAAAUAAUUUAAUUAAAAUGUUGAAUUGUGAUUUCAAAUAUGUAUAUAAUAUACUUUUUACC
rnacentral:tRNA from 1 species